rnacentral:rRNA from 1 species
GAUGAACGCUGGCGGCGUGCCUAAUACAUGCGAGUCGAGCGAACAGACGAGGAGCUUGCUCCUCUGACGUUAGCGGCGGACGGGUGAGUAACACGUGGAUAACCUACCUAUAAGACUGGGAUAACUUCGGGAAACCGGAGCUAAUACCGGAUAAUAUAUUGAACCGCAUGGUUCAAUAGUGAAAGACGGUUUUGCUGUCACUUAUAGAUGGAUCCGCGCCGCAUUAGCUAGUUGGUAAGGUAACGGCUUACCAAGGCAACGAUGCGUAGCCGACCUGAGAGGGUGAUCGGCCACACUGGAACUGAGACACGGUCCAGACUCCUACGGGAGGCAGCAGUAGGGAAUCUUCCGCAAAGGGCGAAAGCCUGACGGAGCAACGCCGCGUGAGUGAUGAAGGUCUUCGGAUCGUAAAACUCUGUUAUUAGGGAAGAACAAAUGUGUAAGUAACUAUGCACGUCUUGACGGUACCUAAUCAGAAAGCCACGGCUAACUACGUG